rnacentral:rRNA from 1 species
AACGAACGCUGGCGGCAUGCCUAACACAUGCAAGUCGAACGCCCUCUUCGGAGGGAGUGGCGCACGGGUGCGUAACGCGUGGGAAUCUGCCCUUGGUUCGGAAUAACAGUUAGAAAUGACUGCUAAUACCGAAUGAUGUCUUCGGACCAAAGAUUUAUCGCCCAAGGAUGAGCCCGCGUCGGAUUAGCUAGUUGGUGAGGUAAAGGCUCACCAAGGCGACGAUCCGUAGCUGGUCUGAGAGGAUGAUCAGCCACACUGGGACUGAGACACGGCCCAGACUCCUACGGGAGGCAGCAGUGGGGAAUAUUGGACAAUGGGCGAAAGCCUGAUCCAGCAAUGCCGCGUGAGU